rnacentral:rRNA from 1 species
CCACAUGCAAGUCGAGCGGUAACACAGGGAGCUUGCUCCUGGGUGACGAGCGGCGGACGGGUGAGUAAUGUCUGGGAAACUGCCUGAUGGAGGGGGAUAACUACUGGAAACGGUAGCUAAUACCGCAUAACGUCGCAAGACCAAAGAGGGGGACCUUCGGGCCUCUUGCCAUCAGAUGUGCCCAGAUGGGAUUAGCUAGUAGGUGGGGUAACGGCUCACCUAGGCGACGAUCCCUAGCUGGUCUGAGAGGAUGACCAGCCACACUGGAACUGAGACACGGUCCAGACUCCUACGGGAGGCAGCAGUGGGGAAUAUUGCACAAUGGGCGCAAGCCUGAUGCAGCCAUGCCGCGUGUAUGAAGAAGGCCUUCGGGUUGUAAAGUACUUUCAGCGGGGAGGAAGGUGUUGAGGUUAAUAACCUCAGCAAUUGACGUUACCCGCAGAAGAAGCACCGGCUAACUCCGUGCCAGCAGCCGCGGUAAUACGGAGGGUGCAAGCGUUAAUCGGAAUUACUGGGCGUAAAGCGCACGCAGGCGGUCUGUCAAGUCGGAUGUGAAAUCCCCGGGCUCAACCUGGGAACUGCAUUCGAAACUGGCAGGCUAGAGUCUUGUAGAGGGGGGUAGAAUUCCAGGUGUAGCGGUGAAAUGCGUAGAGAUCUGGAGGAAUACCGGUGGCGAAGGCGGCCCCCUGGACAAAGACUGACGCUCAGGUGCGAAAGCGUGGGGAGCAAACAGGAUUAGAUACUU